rnacentral:rRNA from 1 species
UACGUAGGGUGCGAGCGUUGUCCGGAAUUAUUGGGCGUAAAGAGCUCGUAGGCGGCCUGUCGCGUCGGUUGUGAAAGCCCGGGGCUUAACCCCGGGUCUGCAAUCGAUACGGGCAGGCUAGAGUUCGGUAGGGGAGAUCGGAAUUCCUGGUGUAGCGGUGAAAUGCGCAGAUAUCAGGAGGAACACCGGUGGCGAAGGCGGAUCUCUGGGCCGAUACUGACGCUGAGGAGCGAAAGCGUGGGGAGCGAACAGG